rnacentral:lncRNA from 1 species
AUACCGGGUGGCCCAAACAAAAGUACUCCUGUUUGAUUCGUAAUAACAUCUAAACAAGUAUAGCUUUUAAAGACAAAUAACUUGCAUCAAAUAGAGGAAGGACUAACUUAGACUUUGAUAUAUUACAGUUGUAUUUCACUUAAAAAUUCACGGAGAUAUUAAUCUUUAAAUUCGGGAGGAUAUUUCUGGAUGUGUCUGAAAUAUGCAAAAACCGGCGUAUCAAAUAUUAAUCAAGAUUUGCCCGACUGAAACAUGCACUAUUACCAGUAAAUAAAUGACACUUGACAAAUUGUUUAUUAUGAAACAAAGUAUUGUUAUAUCUACAAAAUACAAGCAAGAUUCAUUCGUCCGAAAUUCGCGUGUGUUCCUAGCACGAAUACGUUUCCUUAUUUCAUGAGACCACUGCAUCGCGAAGGAUCGUCAUUGGAUCGUUCGUAGUUCUGAAUUAGGGCAUGCUGUCACAACGGAAUUGUGUAGCUCUUCUAACUUCUGCAACGUUCUGAAAUCUUGUUAAGAACACCCAAACUCUU